ACAAUUUCAGAAAAGUAAACUAAUCUUUUAACAAAUGCUUCCUAAAAGAUAUAAGAUGAUAUUUCAAAUAUGUUUGCAUACAUGUUUACGUAUAGGAAACCAACCAUCUUUCCUUAAGAUUGAAAAUAUUAGACUGCAAAUAACGACAGCACAAAAUCAUUGUUAAUUUAAUUUACACUCUCUCUCCCAACGGCUCUCUCCCCCUCUCUCUCUCUCACUAUAAACAAAAUCUAAAAAUUGCUAAGCCAAACCAACAGGAAAACUAUAAACAUAUUUCAGAUUGAUGCAGUAGAGUUGAAACCAAAACAUCGAAUCAAGAAGUAAAUUCCAAAAAAGCAUAAACUUGACAGUGAAAUGAAGACUAAAAGAAAGAAAAUUAAUACUAAGAUCUUAAGUCAAAUCAAGUAAGCAACCAAUUCGAAACAAAGCCUUAAAUCGAUAAUUCGAAACAAAGCAGUAAAUCAAUACGACGAUGAAUAUAAGAUAAACCGAAAAUCCAAACAUGAUGACAUAUAAAAUCAAAACAUUAAUAAUAGGAGCAACAGUAAGCUAAAACGAUGACUGGUAAAGGACAAACAGUGACCAUACGGCGUAAAUCACAAUCACGAUUACGACUAAAUCUUGGGCCUCAAAACAGCUUUAUGAAAAUAAGAACUAGACUAAGAAACACGUUUAUCACAAAAACCCUAUAGCCUUCAAGGCUUCUACAACAAACAGUCCCAACAAUACUAUAAAAUUGCUACUAGUACGAAGAAGGGGAAGAAGUAACGAAUAAAUUAAAAAGAGAAAAAUGUGUUUACCUAGUAAUCUCGGGACGAUGAGUCGAGGACGACUUCACCUCUUUCCUUGACUCGAGAACAACAAAAAAAAAUACGAAACUUGAACAAAAAUUCUCUCAACUCCAGGUUGGGAACCGAAGUCCGAACCCUAACAGAGCAGAGAAUUUUUAGUCCCCUUUUUGGUUUCGGAAAAAAACUCCCUUGAACAGUGGAAUCAACGGGUUUAUCUAGAAACCCAAAAAAUCUCAAAUCUUGGUCGAUUAUCGACGUGGGAUUGAAAAAUCAACGGCAAUUUUAGAAUUUUAAUCAGAAAUCUUCUUGGAAGAUAAGGGUAUGAGCUGGAAUCGUAUAAUUUCGUACGAAUAGGAUUUUGAACGUUGGUGGAUGAGACAUUGUUGGACAAGCUAGAUUUUGCAGGUUGUACGCCGAGUUGAGGGGUUGUAGAUCGGGUUGUAGCAGGUGUCGGAUCACCGUUGAUUUUGCUGGUAUGGUCGGGUCGUGGUUUGAAGUUGUGGGUUGUAUUGUCGUUGCUGGCUGAAGCUGGUGUUGGGUUUUGUCGGGUUGAAAUUGUUUUUUGUUGUGACUGGUGUUGCUUUGGUCGCUGAUGGUGAUUAAAAGGGUGAACCGGGUCAGACCAUUUUGGGCCUGGAGUGGUGGCUGAUUGUUG
rnacentral:lncRNA from 1 species